UGCGGAGCAGGCUGGGAGGGACGACUCAGUACCAGAACGUGAGACAGCAAGGCAGUGUGUUCAAAGGGUGCCAUAAACUGUUGCUUUAUUUAAUGUGGGACGACACAGCACCAGACGUCAGACACCAAGGCACUGUUCAAAGGGUGCCAUAAACUGUUGCUUUAUUUAACGUGUUUUCGCAUAACAAGACAGUGACAGGGGCCGUGGCUGCCUGCGUGUGCUGGUUCAAGCUUGGUGCCUGCCGGGAGGUGCCUACAGGGCCACCAAGGCUAAUAUUGGUAAGAAACCCGCCCACCACUUGUCCAGCCAGAUACAAAUGUAGAGGGACAAAAGAGAAAGGCAGGAAGACCACCACCACCAGCACAGUGGAAGAAAGGUGUGAGGACGCAACAAUCAACACUGUCGACAAAGCAGACGACAUAGACACUCGUAUGUUCUACACCCAUUUUGGCACACCACAGUUUGGUGCGUGGACAGCCUGGGUGUGCUGGGUCGGCCUGACAAUGUUCGCAAUGCUCAAGCUAUGCAAGUACCACCAGCAGGAGAAUAUUCGGGUGUCAAUGGCCAGGGAACGGGCUCGCCUAGUCUCUGAUCGACACUCUCAGAUCAGCGGAUGAUCGGAUGGUUCUUGGCCGGACAGCUGCUGAGUGUUCCUGUCAAAUUUCCAAACUUGAGUUUUUUUCCUGUUGAUUUUCCUCUCUCAGGUUUUUUUUCCCAUUCAUUUUUUUUUCAUCUCAGAUUUUUUCCUCUUCUUAUUUAUUUUAUUUUUUUUCUGCUUACAUUUUUGUUUUUCUGUCAAAUUGCACCUGUUUUUGUUUUUUUCUUUUUUUCCCCUCUUGUUUUCCUAUUGAGUUUUUCUGUCUACUGUCCACCUUCCUAGCUCUCUAUCUUUUUUUUUUCUUUUCUUUUUUUUGGUGUGUGUAUGUGUGUGUUUGUAUACAUAGAUGUACAUAGUUGAGUUAUAUCCUGGAGAUGUGUGUGUGUGUGUGUGUGUGUGUGUGUGUGUGUGUGUGUGUGUGUGUGUGUAAUAGAGGGAGAGAGUGUGUUUUCAUAUCUCUCUCUCUCUCUCUCUCUCUCUCUCUCUCUCUCUCUCUCUCUCUCUCUCUCUCUCUCUCUCUCUCUCUCUCUCUCUCUCUCUCUCUCUCAUAUUUGAACAAGUAAACACAUCUUACUUUUUCACAUUGCACUUAGAAAAAAACACACACACACACACACACACACACACACACACACACACACACACACACACACACACACACACACACACACACUUAGUAUCACUGGCAUAAGUAGGUCUAUUUUUUUUUCAUCACGUAGGCUUAAUGAAAACGUUGUGAAAAGCUUUAAGUUGUUAAGUAGGUGAUGUAAAGUGUGUUGGUCGUAACUUAAGACUUCCUACCCAUUUUUUGUAUUUUUUUCUAUAUGAACAAGUUAAUAGUUAAUUUUAAAGCUAUUUUUUCUCUCAUUUCACUUGCAUUAUUCUCUCUCUCUCUCUCUCUCUCUCUCUCUCUCUCUCUCUCUCUCUCUCUCUCUCUCUCUCUCUCUCUCUCUC